rnacentral:tRNA from 1 species
ACUUAAAUAGUUUAAAAAAAAUAUUGAUUUGUGGAAUCAAAGAUAUUGGAUUAAUUUUAAGUA